rnacentral:antisense_RNA from 14 species
CUUCAACGAGCCGAGCCACAGCGGCCGUUCCGCGGGCCGCCCCUGCCCGUACGUGGCCAGCAGCGCCUGCGCCUC